GGGGCAGAACGAGAUGUUUAUUCACGACAAUAUGAAGUAUUUCACUUCAUGUUCAUGUCGUACAGCUGUUAUUCCAUCAUUGUUCCCGUUCAGGGACAGCACACGUUGACCUUCAAUGCGGUGCUGAGCGACCACCGGUGCAGUUGUAAAAUAACCAGAAUAAUCCACUUGACACACAUUGACCACGACCUGUCACCUCAACGUGACCAUGCAAAGUGCAGGAUCAUCGUUAAGUUUUCUUCAGUGGAUGACCUUUACUUAAACUUGAACAGGAUAGGUAUGGCUAAUACAACGCGAGACUGCAGGCGAUGGAGAGUUGUAUUCUAAAACAUUAUAGAUAGACAAAUUAGUCCUCUGGCCUUUUUAAGGCUAAAUCAGAAUGAGAAACAGAGCGGACAGAACACCGGGCUGGAGACCAGGGAUGCCAGGGACUCUCAAGAAACUGGUCUUAGACUCUCUAGGUCCUCACUACAGGUCCUACUGACCUCAGGUAAUGACACAUCACAGGGGGACAUGCAUCGGGUGAACUGUGAACCGCAUGUCUGCGCAUUUACGGACGUUAAGUUGGGCGGUGUGCUCCCACCAGGAGCCGGCCAUGUUUACGUUCCGAACUCGGAGACCUGCGGGGACGCAUCGACUCCAUGAAGGACCGUCGGUUCAAACAGGGAACAGCCUACUCACCGAGCCUCCACCGGAGCUGCAGAGAUGGCCUGUUAACGCGGACCUUAUGGUGUCUGGAGAUGUGUGGAUGAUGAUAUGGGGUUGAGGACGUUUGGCGGAGACUGCUGCUGUAAGCGGCGCAUGAAGGGAAGCCGAGUGUUGUACAGCACCGCCCCGUCUGAGACGUCACGUUCACCGGCAAGCCUUACCAGGGUAUGGUGAAGGACGGAAUGCACAGGCGACACACCAAAGCACCAGAAAACACCCUGCCAACAUAAGGGGAGAUUUGGGGUGGUGGUAUCCUGCCCCUGCGACGAUCAGCAAGCUACUUUCAGCUGUCGCCGCAUA